UGGGCGCCGCCCGCCCACCACUCUGAAUAUAAACCGUUGGGCGGGAAGUGUUGAGUUCAGUCUGUAAGGUGCCUGCGUUACGUCUACUUAGAGUUUACUGAUCGAACCAUGAAGUCUACAUUUCUCCUCCUGUUUGUAUCCAUUUCGUCCGGACUCUUGGUUAAUGACAGCGGAGAGGAACCACUGUUGAGAAAUGAGUUAAUGAAUUCCGGAUUCCCAUCAGAUAAUAAUUACAUAACAUCUAAUGAGAUGCUGUGGGCAGAUGAACGUCCCUUCUAUCGGCUAUUAAAAUUCCACAAGAAUAACACAACUGAGCAGGACUUAAAUACGAAGAACACUCCAGAGACAAAGGCUCUCAAAAGUUCCGAGAUAAAAAGAUCGAAAAGCAAUAAGCUAACGGAUAACGGUUACAAUUUGACACAUAAUUCCGCGAGGAAGUGGUACUUAAAGAAAGGAAAAGGUAUUACCUCCACAUGCUAUACAAACUUUUUAGUUCGUUUAUCCAUAGACCGUAAACCACCGAUUUUGGAUUUUUUUUCGUUAGUCAUGAGUAAUGGGAAUUCCGACACUGUGUUUUUUUAAGAUUUGCUCGUUCAAAACGAUACAGUGGUAGAAGAUUUUCGAGCCUGAACCACGUACGCCUAAAACAAAUGGAAAUCUUGUAAAUUAAUUAAAAAAGCUUACUCAAAUAAACUAGAUCUGAGAUUUUUCAGCAAA